UCCAGACUCCUACGGGAGGCAGCAGUGGGGAAUAUUGCACAAUGGGGGAAACCCUGAUGCAGCGACGCCGCGUGAAGGAAGAAGUAUUUCGGUAUGUAAACUUCUCUCAGCAGGGAAGAAAAUGACGGUACCUGACUAAGAAGCCCCGGCUAACUACGUGCCAGCAGCCGCGGUAAUACGUAGGGGGCAAGCGUUAUCCGGAUUUACUGGGUGUAAAGGGAGCGUAGGCGGUUUAGCAAGUCAGAAGUGAAAGCCCGGGGCUCAACUCCGGGACUGCUUUUGAAACUGUUGAACUAGAUUGCAGGAGAGGUAAGUGGAAUUCCUAGUGUAGCGGUGAAAUGCGUAGAUAUACGGAGGAACACCAGUGGCGAAGGCGGAUUGCUGGACAGUAACUGACGCUGAGGCGCGAAAGCGUGGGGAGCAAACAGGAUUAGAUACCCUAGUA
rnacentral:rRNA from 1 species